ACAAGGGCGCAGGGCGAAUGCCUUGGCACUGGGAGCCGAUGAAAGACGUGAUAAGCUGCGAUAAGCUUCGGGGAGCUGCAAAUAAGCAUUGAUCCGGAGAUUUCUGAAUGAGGAAACUCACCUGGGUUCAUACUCAGGUACGUUAUACUGAACUUAAAAAUAGGUAUAUCGAGGGAACCGCCUGAACUGAAACAUCUAAGUAGGGCGAGGAAGAGACAUCAAACGAGAUUCCGUAAGUAGUGGCGAGCGAACGCGGAAGAGGGCAAACCGAGAGUAGAAAUACUUUCGGGGUACGGACUGCUUUUAAGACUCAAUCUGUUAACCGAACGGCAUGGGAAGGCCGGUCAGAGAGUGUGAGAACCACGUAGGUGAAAACGGAGAGAGCUGCGCAGGAUCCAGAGUACGGCCAGACACGUGAAACCUGGUCGGAAGAUGGGGGGACCACCCUCCAACCCUAAAUACUACCCAGUGACCGAUAGCGUAUAGUACUGUGAAGGAAAGGUGAAAAGCACCCCGGGAGGGGAGUGAAAAAGAACCUGAAACCCUGUGCCUACAAGCACCUAGAGCACGUCAAAGUGUGAUAGGGUACUUUUUGUAGAACGGUCCGGCGAGCGAUUGUAUGCAGCAAGGUUAAGGACUUAAGGUCUGGAGCCGAAGCGAAAGCGAGUUUGAAAAGGGCGUUAAGUUGCAUACAAUGGGCCCGAAACCGGGUGACCUACCCAUGGUCAGGUUGAAGUGGAAGUAAAAUUCCAUGGAGGACCGAACCGACCUCCGUUGAAAAGGCGGCGGAUGAACUGUGGGUAGCGGAGAAAUUCCAAUCGAACCCGGAGAUAGCUGGUUCUCCCCGAAAUAGUUUUAGGACUAGCCUCAAGUUAGAUACCUGGAGGUAAAGCACUGAAUAGCCUAGCGGCCGAGAGGUUAGCGAAGCUUAUCAAACUCAGAAUGCCAGAGUAUUGAUGCUUGGGAGUCAGACAGUGUCAGAUAAAUGUCAUUGUCAAAAGGGAAACAGCCCAGAUCUACAGCUAAGGUCCCAAAGUCAGGUUAAGUGGAAAACGAUGUGAAGAUACGUAGACAACCAGGAUGUUGGCUCAGAAGCAGCCACACAUUCAAAGAGUGCGUAAUAGCUCACUGGUCGAGCGUCUUUGCGCGGAGAAUUUAACGGGGCUAAACCUGACACCGAAGCUUAGGCAAUACAGCAAUGUAUUGGGUAGGGGAGCGUUGUAUACGCGGUGAAACAGUAGCGCAAGCGGCUGUGGAGUGUAUAGAAGUGAGAAUGCCGGAAUGAGUAGCGCGAAUGCAGUGAGAAUCUGCAUGGCCGAAAGCCUCAGGUUUCUGGAGGAAGGUUCGUCCGCUCCAGGUUAGUCGGGAGCUAAGGUGAGGCCUAACGGCGUAGCCGAUGCACAGACGGUAGAGAUUCCGUCACCACCAAAAGAGUUAAACACAGGGACACAUUUGAAGUCUCGGAGCCGGGUGUUGGUUCCGGUAGCGAUCGAGGGAAAUUAGUACCGAAGUCCGGGAUGGAAGAUGGCGAGAAAAGCUGUGUGUAUUUCUGCGGUGCCCGUACCGCAAACCGACACAGGUAGGUAGGAAGAAGAUUCUAAGGCCAACGGGAGAAGGGUUGUUAAGGAACUCGGCAAAUUGACCCCGUAACUUCGGGAGAAGGGGUGCUCCAGAGAUGGAGCCGCAGAGAAUCGGCCCAAGCAACUGUUUACCAAAAACACAGGUUUGUGCUAAAUCGAAAGAUGACGUAUACGAGCUGACGCCUGCCCGGUGCUGGAAGGUUAAGAGGAGAUGUGCAAGCAUUGAAUCGAAGCCCCAGUGAACGGCGGCCGUAACUAUAACGGUCCUAAGGUAGCGAAAUUCCUUGUCAGGUAAGUUCUGACCCGCAUGAAAGGCGUAAUGAUUUGGGCACUGUCUCGACAGCCCGCCCGGCGAAAUUGUAGUACCGGUGAAGAUGCCGGUUACCCGCGACAAGACGGAAAGACCCCAUGGAGCUUUACUGUAGCCUAAUAUUGGGUUUCGAUGUUGCAUGCACAGGAUAGAUGGGACACUGGGAAACAAGUGCUUUGGCAUUUGUGGAGUGGCCGUUGGGAUACCAUCCUUGCGAUAUUGGAAUUCUAACCUGCGCCUUUGAAUCAAGGCGGGGGACAUUGUUAGGUGGGCAGUUUGACUGGGGCGGUCGCCUCCUAAAGAGUAACGGAGGCGUUCAAAGGUUCGCUCAGCUUGAACGGAAAUCAAGCAAAAGAGUGCAAACGCAGAAGCGAGCCUAACUGCGAGACUGACGGGUCGAGCAGUAACGAAAGUUGGAGUUAGUGAUCCGGUGGUAUGUGAGUGGAAAUGCCAUCGCUCAACGGAUAAAAGUUACCCUGGGGAUAACAGGCUGAUCUCCCCCAAGAGUCCACAUCGACGGGGAGGUUUGGCACCUCGAUGUCGGCUCAUCGCAUCCUGGGGCUGUAUUCGGUCCCAAGGGUUUGGCUGUUCGCCAAUUAAAGCGGUACGCGAGCUGGGUUCAGAACGUCGUGAGACAGUUCGGUCCCUAUCUGUCGUGGGCGCAGGAUAUUUGAUGGGAGCUGUCCCUAGUACGAGAGGACCGGGACGGACGUACCUCUGGCGCACCAGUUGUUCCGCCAGGAGCAUAGCUGGGCAACUACGUACGGAUCGGAUAAACGCUGAAAGCAUCUAAGCGUGAAGCCGACCCAAAGAUAAGAUAUCAUAGCAAAUAAAUACAUACAACAAUGCAAAAGUUUAUUUCCUGAUAUAAGCUAUAAUGAACUAGUUAAGCAAUUCGGAUCACCUCGUGAAGUUGUUAUGGAA
rnacentral:rRNA from 1 species